UAGGGAAUAUUGGGCAAUGGCCGAGAGGCUGACCCAGCCAUGCCGCGUGCAGGAAGAAGGCCUUCUGGGUUGUAAACUGCUUUUAUCAGGGAAGAAAACGCUCCUGCGGGAGUAACUGACGGUACCUGAUGAAUAAGCACCGGCUAACUCCGUGCCAGCAGCCGCGGUAAUACGGAGGGUGCAAGCGUUGUCCGGAUUUAUUGGGUUUAAAGGGUGCGUAGGCGGCUUGUUAAGUCAGCGGUGAAAUCCCAGGGCUCAACCCUGGAACUGCCGUUGAUACUGGCAAGCUUGAGUUCGGUCGAGGCGGGCGGAACUGGUGGUGUAGCGGUGAAAUGCAUAGAUACCACCAAGAACCCCGAUCGCGAAGGCAGCUCGCUGGGCCGAAACUGACGCUGAGGCACGAAAGCGUGGGGAGCGGAACAGGAUUAGAUACCCUGGUAGUCCACGCCGUAAACGAUGAUAACUCGAUGUUGGCGAUAUACAGUCAGCGUCUUAGAC
rnacentral:rRNA from 1 species